rnacentral:rRNA from 1 species
UACGAAGGGUGCUAGCGUUGCUCGGAAUUACUGGGCGUAAAGCGCACGUAGGCGGUCUUUUAAGUCGGUGGUGAAAUCCUGGAGCUCAACUCCAGAACUGCCUUCGAUACUGGAAGACUUGAGUCCGGGAGAGGUGAGUGGAACUGCGAGUGUAGAGGUGAAAUUCGUAGAUAUUCGCAAGAACACCAGUGGCGAAGGCGGCUCACUGGCCCGGUACUGACGCUGAGGUGCGAAAGCGUGGGGAGCAAACAGG